rnacentral:rRNA from 1 species
CACGUAGGCGGAUCUUUAAGUCAGGGGUGAAAUCCCGGGGCUCAACCUCGGAACUGCCCUUGAUACUACUGGUCUCGAGUCCGGAAGAGGUGAGUGGAAUUCCUAGUGUAGAGGUGAAAUUCGUAGAUAUUAGGAAGAACACCAGUGGCGAAGGCGGCUCACUGGUCCGGUACUGACGCUGAGGUGCGAAAGCGUGGGGAGCAAACA